GCGGUCUACCAUGCGAGUCGAGCGGAAACGACACUAACAAUCCUUCGGGUGCGUUAAUGGGCGUCGAGCGGCGGACGGGUGAGUAAUGCCUAGGAAAUUGCCUUGAUGUGGGGGAUAACCAUUGGAAACGAUGGCUAAUACCGCAUAAUGCCUACGGGCCAAAGAGGGGGACCUUCGGGCCUCUCGCGUCAAGAUAUGCCUAGGUGGGAUUAGCUAGUUGGUGAGGUAAUGGCUCACCAAGGCGACGAUCCCUAGCUGGUCUGAGAGGAUGAUCAGCCACACUGGAACUGAGACACGGUCCAGACUCCUACGGGAGGCAGCAGUGGGGAAUAUUGCACAAUGGGCGAAAGCCUGAUGCAGCCAUGCCGCGUGUAUGAAGAAGGCCUUCGGGUUGUAAAGUACUUUCAGUUGUGAGGAAGGGGGUAGUGUUAAUAGCGCUAUCUCUUGACGUUAGCAACAGAAGAAGCACCGGCUAACUCCGUGCCAGCAGCCGCGGUAAUACGGAGGGUGCGAGCGUUAAUCGGAAUUACUGGGCGUAAAGCGCAUGCAGGUGGUUCAUUAAGUCAGAUGUGAAAGCCCGGGGCUCAACCUCGGAACUGCAUUUGAAACUGGUGAACUAGAGUACUGUAGAGGGGGGUAGAAUUUCAGGUGUAGCGGUGAAAUGCGUAGAGAUCUGAAGGAAUACCAGUGGCGAAGGCGGCCCCCUGGACAGAUACUGACACUCAGAUGCGAAAGCGUGGGGGAGCAAACAGGAUUAGAUACCCUGGUAGUCCACGCCGUAAACGAUGUCUACUUGGAGGUUGUGGCCUUGAGCCGGGGCUUUCGGAGCUAACGCGUUAAGUAGACGC
rnacentral:rRNA from 1 species